AUGGCUGCUGAUUCAGUCUCAUACUGUCCUGCUUCAACAUCUCAAAAUUUCCAGAGCUGGGACAUUGUCUCAGGAAGUCCUCAAGACCCAGCAGCCUCUAUGGAUCUUUUUGCUCUACUUAGACUGCAGCUUUUUUUUAUCCUGGUACCUAGAUGGCUGCUGCAACUCCAGGCAUCACAGCAGCGCUCUGCUCAAGAGGAAGAAGAGAAGGUCAAAUGGCAAAAACCUUGA
rnacentral:lncRNA from 1 species